UACGAAGGGUGCAAGCGUUACUCGGAAUUACUGGGCGUAAAGCGUGCGUAGGUGGUUCGUUAAGUCUGAUAUGAAAGCCCUGGGCUCAACCUGGGAAUGGCAUUGGAUACUGGCGAUCUAGAGUGCGGUAGAGGGCAGUGGAAUUCCCGGUGUAGCAGUGAAAUGCGUAGAGAUCGGGAGGAACAUCUGUGGCGAAGGCGACUGCCUGGACCAGCACGUGACACUGAGGCACGAAAGCGUGGGGAGCCAAACAGG
rnacentral:rRNA from 1 species